rnacentral:lncRNA from 1 species
GUUUAUUUUUAAAAUUAAAACAAUCUAUAUUAUGGCCCAUAGUGUCUAAAAUUUUUUUUUUUUUUGAGGAAGAUUAGCCCUGAGCUAACAUCCGCUGCCAAUCCUCCUCUUUUUGCUGAGGAAGACUGGUCCUGAGCUAACAGCUAUGCCCAUCUUCCUCUAUUUUAUAUGCAGUAUGCCUGCCACAAUAUAACUUGAUAAGUGGUGCAUAGGUCCGCACCCAGGAUUUGAACCAGCAAACCCCGGGCCACUGAAGCAGAGUGCGCAAACUUAACGACUGCAUCACUGGGCUGGCCCCGUCUAAAAUGUUUUUUGACUUAUCAGCUCGCAUUAUUUUUUAAUUUUAAGAGGGAAAAAUAUAAUUAGGUUACAUUUAGAAGUAUUGUAACUUCCUCCUCCAUUGCAAAGCCUUGUGUUUAACUUUUACUAGAUUUUGUACCGUAUCCUAUUCCUUUAGGAAGUUUAUAAGUGUUUUAUUGCUACUGGAAAAUUUUGGUGGGUGUAUGUGCACAGGAGAGAAAUAUGUACAUUUUUUAUUUUAAUAUGAAAGGAAAUAUAUAACCCAGAAUGAUAGAAUCACUCUGGUACAUCUGUUGUAUGUUUAAGGAAAGAAACAAGCAGGUGAGUCUGGAGAAUGUUCGCUGCAGGUAAUGAAGUGAGUGCAGCCAUGUGCUCUAAUCUCAGAGUUAGAUUAGUAUUUUGCUUAGUGAAUUUCUAUGGCAUAUUUCUGAGAACACUUUAGUUUGGGUAUAUUUCUACACUUACUAGAAGCUAAUUCAGUCAAGAAAGGUUGGUUUUUUUUAACGUACUUUAUUUUUGUGCUCUUCUGCCCAAAGAAAAUGCUGAUAAGAACAUAGACAGUCUAAGAUGCAAAUGUAUAUUAAAAUGUGCUUGUUCAGAUUGCUUUGCAAGAACUAUAUUACAGGGAAGUGUGUGAAUGUGUGAAAGAGAGAGAGACUCAAUGUGAUGCAUCACAAAUUGUCUUGACUUAGGAAUCAGGUGAUGGAGAACGGAGACCAUAGACCUAGCCGCAACUAGCUCGCUGAAAUUGAACAGAUCAGCUUCUCCACCAUAGGCUGAGAUGACUGAAGAUAUCUAAAGUUCCUUCCAGCUCUGACAACAUUUCUGUGAAAGCUGACCACUUGUGGGAAACACACCUACAAGAUAUCCAUCACAGCUGACAGAGGAAGGGAACAAUGUGAUGCCUGGAGCCCAUCACGCCUGGAGACCAACAUCCUGGACCCCCUCCUUACUGCUCAUUUUCCCUAUAUAACUGACUCAAGAUUCUGUAAUCCUUGAAGAUGAGUUUUGGGGACGUUAGUCACCCAUCUUCUGAUUUGCU